GUCCAUGUAGUAUAUUCAUUACAUCGGUCUUGUAAACCGGCAAAGGGAAUAAUAAACUUCCCCAUAGACU
rnacentral:tRNA from 1 species